AACUCUUCUGAAGUUGACCUCGAAUCAGGUAGGAAUACCCGCUGAACUUAAGCAUAUCAAUAAGCGGAGGAAAAGAAACCAACAGGGAUUGCCCCAGUAACGGCGAGUGAAGCGGCAACAGCUCAAAUUUGAAAUCUGGCUCUCGGGCCCGAGUUGUAAUUUGUAGAGGAUGCUUUUGGUGAGGUGCCUUCCGAGUUCCCUGGAACGGGACGCCAUAGAGGGUGAGAGCCCCGUCUGGUUGGACGCCGAACCUCUGUAAAGCUCCUUCGACGAGUCGAGUAGUUUGGGAAUGCUGCUCUAAAUGGGAGGUAUAUGUCUUCUAAAGCUAAAUACCGGCCAGAGACCGAUAGCGCACAAGUAGAGUGAUCGAAAGAUGAAAAGAACUUUGAAAAGAGAGUUAAACAGUACGUGAAAUUGUUGAAAGGGAAGCGCUUGUGACCAGACUUGGGCUUGGUUGAUCAUCCGGGGUUCUCCCCGGUGCACUCUUCCGGCCCAGGCCAGCAUCAGUUCGCCCUGGGGGACAAAGGCUUCGGGAACGUGGCUCUCUCCGGGGAGUGUUAUAGCCCGUUGCGUAAUACCCUGUGGCGGACUGAGGUUCGCGC
rnacentral:rRNA from 1 species